rnacentral:misc_RNA from 1 species
UCCGGCUUAACGCCGGCGGUCUCUCUAGAGUGCCCAACUGAAUGAUGGCAACUAAAGAUAAGGGUUGCGCUCGUUAAGGGACUUAACCCGACAUCUCACGAUACGAGCUGACGACAGCCAUGCAGCACCUGAACCGUCGGUCCCCGAAGGGAAAACCGUAUCUCUACGGCUGUCCGACGUUGUCUAACCCAGGUAAGGUUCUUCGCGUUGCAUCGAAUUAAACCACAUGCUCCACCGCUUGUGCGGGCCCCCGUCAAUUCCUUUGAGUUUUAAUCUUGCGACCGUACUUCCCAGGCGGGGUACUUAAUGCGUUAGCGUCGGCACUGCAGGGGUCAAUUCCCGCAACACCUAGUACCCAUCGUUUACAGCGUGGACUAC